GUGGGGAAUAUUGGACAAUGGGCGAAAGCCUGAUCCAGCCAUGCCGCGUGUGUGAAGAAGGUCUUCGGAUUGUAAAGCACUUUAAGUUGGGAGGAAUGGCAGUAAGUUAAUACCUUGCUGUUUUGCCGUUACCGACAGAAUAAGCACCGGCUAACUUCGUGCCAGCAGCCGCGGUAAUACGAAGGGUGCAAGCGUUAAUCGGAAUUACUGGGCGUAAAGCGCGCAUAGGUGGUUAUGCAAGUUGGAGGUGAAAUCCCCGGGCUCAACCUGGGAACUGCCUCCAAAACUGCAUGACUAGAGUACGGUGGAGGGUAGUGGAAUAUCCUGUGUAGAGGUGAAAUGCGUAGAUAUAGGAAGGAACACCAGUGGCGAAGGCGACUACCUGGACUGAUACUGACACUGAUGUGCGAAAACGUGGGGAGCAAACAGGAUUAGAAACCCCAGUAUCC
rnacentral:rRNA from 1 species